rnacentral:rRNA from 1 species
UACGUAGGGGGCAAGCGUUGUCCGGAAUCAUUGGGCGUAAAGAGCGUGUAGGCGGCCAGAUAAGUCCGCUGUGAAAACUCGAGGCUCAACUUCGAGCUGUCGGUGGAAACUAUUUGGCUAGAGUCCGGAAGAGGAGAGUGGAAUUCCUGGUGUAGCGGUGAAAUGCGCAGAUAUCAGGAAGAACACCCGUGGCGAAGGCGGGUCUCUGGGCAGUAACUGACGCUGAGGAGCGAAAGCGUGGGUAGCAAACAGG